GAAUUGUGUGUGAAUCAGUGUGAAAUUCGAGUUCAGUCUGGUUGCACGUAUUUGCGAAUUUGUAAAAUUAUCGGUUCAGUGAAUUUUUUUUAUUGCUUAUUAAUGGAAUCUCAACUUGAGUCAACGUGCUGCAGCCCGUGGCCGAAGUAGAGGUGGUCGUGGUGGCGUUCAAAGUGUCCGCACACGUGGUGGUAGUCGCCACCAAGCCCGACCUUCGGCCUCUGAAUUGCAGCGAAGAAGAGUCGAGGGGAGAGGAGGAGGAAGAUGUGCAGCCGCCGCUGGUGCCCCGGUCGACAAGGAUGUGGAUAGACGAAGAGGAUGAGGAAGUUGAAAGAGGAGAAGGGGGGCUUAACUUUAAUUUUGAGUGGCCUCCUUAACCUCUUCUUCUAUCCACGUCUGCCUCACCGACGGCUCUUUCGCCAUCCGAGAUAGAGCCGAAUAAUAAAUCUAAAUUUGAAUGGAGAAAGGUGCCAAUGCCUCAAAUCGAACCUUAUUUAAGGCGAGAACCUUUCUCCCAAAUUACUGGUCUAACGGUUUCAUUCGCGACUCCAUACGAAGCAUUUAUUGCCAUAUGAAAUAAUGGAAGUGAUAGUCACGGAAACCAACAUUUACCCACAGCAGCUGGCAACGGUUAUAUUGGAGAGUGGGACGAUUCACCCUCAUAGUCGGAUUACUCGAUGGCAAGAUACAAAUGUAAACGAAAUUUACACGUAUUUUGCCAUCGUUCUUAGUGGGCUUAGUGCGAGUUUUUUAACGUUGUCGAUAGCGUAAAAGUUAUCCCAAUUUUGUAUGCAGUUGGAACAGCGCCCCUAGCGGCAAACAUACGCAAAUCAUUCCAUUCCAUACAAAUAAGAGUUAACUUUUACGCUAUCGAGAACGUUAAAAAACUCGCACUAAACACGCACUGACUAUGGGGUUGGUCAUCAAAACACGUUUGGAUGAGUACUGGUGUAACUUGCUUACGAUACAUUUUCUACACGCCGGGUUUCUCCCCGGAGAUGUCCUAUGACCGUUUCCGGCUGCUGUCAAGGUGCCUGCACUUUGCUAAUAAUGCAGAUUGUGAUAUUGCAAUGUUGGCACGACGCCAGGCCAAGCUCUAUAAAAUACAACCAAUAAUAGACCACUUAAGCAGCGGUAGGCAGCGACUUGGCUCUGCCCACUGGCAUUGCUGAAGUCCAUGGGCGACGGUAACCACUCACCAUCAGGUGGGCCGUAUGCUCGUCUGCCUACAAGGGCAAUAAAAAAAUUAAAAAAGUUAAAUAAAAAAUUUGCCGAGCUAUUAUACAAUUCGGGUCAGAAUUUAGCAGUGGAUGAGAGUUUGACAAUGUGGAAGGGCUGGCUAGGCUUAAUAUGCUAACAACAUACCUGAUUUUCUAAAAACGUACGUCAUGCAUCUGAAAUCUGUGAAGUUAGGGAAAAUAAAUGCCUAUUUUACUUUAUACCAAUUUUCACAGAUAAGUACAUACCUGUACAAAUGGAGCCUUAAUAUGUGUAGAACAAUGUGUAAUGUAUGUACAAAUAUGUGUUAAGUUUUCAGAAAAUAAUCAUGGCUACACUUUGGUUUAUUGUGUAAAAAAAUGUAAUAAAUGAAAUUUGACCUUA